AUCAAAACUCAAUGUAUAAAUAAAAAGAGAUGAUUUCAGUUAUUGAUGCUCUGAUAUCAAAUGACUCAAAAUCGAGGUCAUCAACACAAGCGAUCAGAACGAGGUUUUUGGAAACAAUCUUGAUAAUUUCUUUCUUAUUCGCCACAAUUCUCUUAGUCAUUCCUUACCAAUACGAAAAUGGCAACCCUGUUCCAACGGUGAUAUUCAAUGGCAUCCCCGCCUCGGGGUUUCAUGCAUUCGUUGUAUCGCUCGUAUAUGCGUUCACCGGCGCCCUCACCGCUUUGUUAAUUCAUGACACUGCCGCCGGCUCAUUUCUUGCCAGAUUUUGUGAGCUUAUUUCAAUCCUUUCUAUGACAUCGGCUCUGUCUUUGUUGGUUUGGUCCCUCUUCACUUUCAGUUUUUCAAAACCAUGUAUGGGAUAAGGAAGAAUUUAAGAGGUCCAACAAUGACUCCACAAAUACUAUUUUCCAAGUUCAAAGUCCAAGGAAGAACGGUUCGAAUAUUAUUAGCGUGAAGAUUAUCAUGUUUCAUCAUUUUGAAUGUAGGAAUUAAUCCAAAAACUAUAAUUUUCAAUUAUCAUUAGUAUAAAUAUUAUCAUGUCGUUCCAAUUUCAUUGUCCAGAAGCAGUCUAAACAUUAUUGUCCAAGUCAGUGGAUCCGAAAUUGUAUGAAUAUUAUCAUGUUUUCUGGUUUUAGUCCAGAAGCUAUCCAAAUAUUAUUGAUGAGUUCAAAGGAUUAAGAAA